rnacentral:rRNA from 1 species
AUGGUCGUGUGUACAUGUAAUGUAUUUUCAAUUAUGUUUGUGAGACUUUAUACUUUGAAAAGAAUAUGGCUACGUGUAUCAGUCGAUGGAGAGGCAAGGCGGGUGUACCUUCUUUCAGGAAAACGUGUAAUGCAUUCUAGGGGCAGAAUUUUUCAGAUUUGUCUAAAUAUGAAUGAUUUAUUUUAUCCUACGAUCUCACCAAAAGGGCAGAUUCUAUUCUGGUCAUCCCACAAAUCUCUUCUCAUGGGAGCCAGCCGCAGCGGACUAGCCUCCUCCACCGGCGCCGUCGUCUCUUCCUUCUCCACCCUGCAGCAGCAGCAGGACCAAUAUCGUGCUGGUCUGAUUAUCGGUGGUCGUAAUCGAAAGCACAUAUAUCUAUAUUUAUCUAUCGACAUAGGUCCAAAUUUUUAUCCGUAA